rnacentral:rRNA from 1 species
AACCCAAAGGAUCCGGAAGCGGAUGAAGGGAGCUUGCUCCUGGAUUCAGCGGCGGACGGGUGAGUAAUGCCUAGGAAUCUGCCUGGUAGUGGGGGAUAACGUCCGGAAACGGGCGCUAAUACCGCAUACGUCCUGAGGGAGAAAGUGGGGGAUCUUCGGACCUCACGCUAUCAGAUGAGCCUAGGUCGGAUUAGCUAGUUGGUGGGGUAAAGGCCUACCAAGGCGACGAUCCGUAACUGGUCUGAGAGGAUGAUCAGUCACACUGGAACUGAGACACGGUCCAGACUCCUACGGGAGGCAGCAGUGGGGAAUAUUGGACAAUGGGCGAAAGCCUGAUCCAGCCAUGCCGCGUGUGUGAAGAAGGUCUUCGGAUUGUAAAGCACUUUAAGUUGGGAGGAAGGGCAGUAAGUUAAUACCUUGCUGUUUUGACGUUACCAACAGAAUAAGCACCGGCUAACUUCGUGCCAGCAGCCGCGGUAAUACGAAGGGUGCAAGCGUUAAUCGGAAUUACUGGGCGUAAAGCGCGCGUAGGUGGUUCAGCAAGUUGGAUGUGAAAUCCCCGGGCUCAACCUGGGAACUGCAUCCAAAACUACUGAGCUAGAGUACGGUAGAGGGUGGUGGAAUUUCCUGUGUAGCGGUGAAAUGCGUAGAUAUAGGAAGGAACACCAGUGGCGAAGGCGACCACCUGGACUGAUACUGACACUGAGGUGCGAAAGCGUGGGGAGCAAACAGGAUUAGAUACCCUGGUAGUCCACGCCGUAAACGAUGUCGACUAGCCGUUGGGGAUCCUUGAGAUCUUAGUGGCGCAGCUAACGCGAUAAGUCGACCGCCUGGGGAGUACGGCCGCAAGGUUAAAACUCAAUGAAUUUGACGGGGGCCCGCACAAGCGGUGGAGCAUGGUGGUUUAAUUCGAGCAACGCGAAGAACCUUACCUGGCCCUUGACAUGCUGAGAACUUCCAGAGAUGGAUUGGUGCCUUCGGAACUCAAGACACAGGUGCUGCAUGGCUGUCGUCAGCUCGGUCGUGGAAUGUGGUUAAGUUCCGUUAACGAAGCGCAACCUGGUCCUUAGUAACGAGCACUUCAGGUGACACUUCUAAGGAACUGGCCGGGUACCACCGAGAGGGUGGUAAGUGAACUGUCAGUCACUCAGAUGCUGCU